CCUGUUCGACGUCUCGUCACAGGUACGGAAUGUGGACCGCUCUCGUGGUCUGAACCGGGAA
rnacentral:ncRNA from 1 species